rnacentral:lncRNA from 1 species
ACUCAACCACAGGCCACCAGUGGCACUCAGCUGUACCACUGCACUGCUGCUGAAAUUGCCAGCACCAGCAGCAUUGUAACAGCUGUUUCACAGCAUCUCGGAGAUAAUGCCUACGAAAUUACUGGCCCUGAUGACGAGAGCCCUCAAGGGGCAAACGACAUCUCUGUUGCAGAAGUGAGCCUGAUACCACCUUAAGUUACCAUGACAGA